rnacentral:rRNA from 1 species
GUAAGCUACUAAGAGCGAAUGGUGGAUGCCUUGACUGGUAAAGGCGAUGAAGGACGUACUAGACUGCGAUAAGCUACGGGGAGCUGUCAAGAAGCUUUGAUCCGUAGAUUUCCGAAUGGGGCAACCCAAUGUAUAGAGAUAUACAUUACCUAUAUAGGAGCGAACGAGGGGAAUUGAAACAUCUUAGUACCCUCAGGAAAAGAAAUCAAUAGAGAUUGCGUCAGUAGCGGCGAGCGAAAGCGCAAGAGGGCAAACCCAGUGCUUGCACUGGGGGUUGUAGGACUGCAAUGUGCAAGAGGUGAGUUUAGCAGAACAUUCUGGAAAGUAUAGCCAUAGAGGGUGAUAGUCCCGUAUGCGAAAAACAAACCUUAGCUAGCAGUAUCCUGAGUAGGGCGGGACACGAGAAAUCCUGUCUGAAGCCGGGUCGACCACGAUCCAACCCUAAAUACUAAUACCAGAUCGAUAGUGCACAAGUACCGUGAGGGAAAGGUGAAAAGAACUGAGGUGAUCAGAGUGAAAUAGAACCUGAAACCAUUUGCUUACAAUCAUUCAGAGCACUAUGUAGCAAUACAGUGUGAUGGACUGCCUUUUGCAUAAUGAGCCUGCGAGUUGUGGUGUCUGGCAAGGUUAAGCAAACGCGAAGCCGUAGCGAAAGCGAGUCUGAAUAGGGCGCUUAGUCAGAUGCUGCAGACCCGAAACGAAGUGAUCUAUCCAUGAGCAAGUUGAAGCUAGUGUAAGAACUAGUGGAGGACUGAACCCAUAGGCGUUGAAAAGCCCCGGGAUGACUUGUGGAUAGGGGUGAAAGGCCAAUCAAACUUCGUGAUAGCUGGUUCUCUCCGAAAUAUAUUUAGGUAUAGCGUUGUGUCGUAAUAUAAGGGGGUAGAGCACUGAAUGGGCUAGGGCAUACACCAAUGUACCAAACCCUAUCAAACUCCGAAUACCUUAUAUGUAAUCACAGCAGUCAGGCGGCGAGUGAUAAAAUCCGUCGUCAAGAGGGAAACAACCCAGACUACCAGCUAAGGUCCCUAAAUCUUACUUAAGUGGAAAACGAUGUGAAGUUACUUAAACAACCAGGAGGUUGGCUUAGAAGCAGCCAUCCUUUAAAGAAAGCGUAAUAGCUCACUGGUCUAGUGAUUUUGCGCGGAAAAUAUAACGGGGCUAAAGUAAGUACCGAAGCUGUAGACUUGACUUUGUCAAGUGGUAGGAGAGCGUUCUAUUUGCGUCGAAGGUAUACCGGUAAGGAGUGCUGGAGCGAAUAGAAGUGAGCAUGCAGGCAUGAGUAGCGAUAAUUAAUGUGAGAAUCAUUAACGCCGUAAACCCAAGGUUUCCUACGCGAUGCUCGUCAUCGUAGGGUUAGUCGGGUCCUAAGUCGAGUCCGAAAGGGGUAGACGAUGGCAAAUUGGUUAAUAUUCCAAUACCAACAUUAGUGUGCGAUGGAAGGACGCUUAGGGCUAAGGGGGCUAGCGGAUGGAAGUGCUAGUCUAAGGUCGUAGGUGCUUAUACAGGCAAAUCCGUAUAAGAAUACACCGAGAACUGAAAGGCUUUUUGAAGUCUUCGGAUGGAUAGAAGAACCCCUGAUGCCGUCGAGCCAAGAAAAGUUUCUAAGUUUAGCUAAUGUUGCCCGUACCGUAAACCGACACAGGUGGGUGGGAUGAGUAUUCUAAGGCGCGUGGAAGAACUCUCUUUAAGGAACUCUGCAAAAUAGCACCGUAUCUUCGGUAUAAGGUGUGGUUCGCUUCGUAUUAGGAUUUACUCCGAAAGCGAAGAAACUUACAACAAAGAGUCCCUCCCGACUGUUUACCAAAAACACAGCACUCUGCUAACUCGUAAGAGGAUGUAUAGGGUGUGACGCCUGCCCGGUGCUCGAAGGUUAAUUGAUGGGGUUAGCAUUAGCGAAGCUCUUGAUCGAAGCCCGAGUAAACGGCGGCCGUAACUAUAACGGUCCUAAGGUAGCGAAAUUCCUUGUCGGUUAAAUACCGACCUGCAUGAAUGGCGUAACGAGAUGGGAGCUGUCUCAAAGAGGGAUCCAGUGAAAUUGUAGUGGAGGUGAAAAUUCCUCCUACCCGCGGCAAGACGGAAAGACCCCGUGGACCUUUACUACAGCUUGACACUGCUACUUGGAUAAGAAUGUGCAGGAUAGGUGGGAGGCUUUGAGUAUAUGACGCCAGUUGUAUAUGAGCCAUUGUUGAGAUACCACUCUUUCUUAUUUGGGUAGCUAACCAGCUUGAGUUAUCCUCAAGUGGGACAAUGUCUGGUGGGUAGUUUGACUGGGGCGGUCGCCUCCCAAAUAAUAACGGAGGCUUACAAAGGUUGGCUCAGAACGGUUGGAAAUCGUUCGUAGAGUAUAAAGGUAUAAGCCAGCUUAACUGCAAGACAUACAAGUCAAGCAGAGACGAAAGUCGGUCUUAGUGAUCCGGUGGUUCUGUGUGGAAGGGCCAUCGCUCAAAGGAUAAAAGGUACCCCGGGGAUAACAGGCUGAUCUCCCCCAAGAGCUCACAUCGACGGGGAGGUUUGGCACCUCGAUGUCGGCUCAUCGCAUCCUGGGGCUGGAGCAGGUCCCAAGGGUAUGGCUGUUCGCCAUUUAAAGCGGUACGCGAGCUGGGUUCAGAACGUCGUGAGACAGUUCGGUCCCUAUCUGCCGUGGGCGUAAGAAGAUUGAAGAGAUUUGACCCUAGUACGAGAGGACCGGGUUGAACAAACCACUGGUGUAGCUGUUGUUCUGCCAAGAGCAUCGCAGCGUAGCUAAGUUUGGAAAGGAUAAACGCUGAAAGCAUCUAAGCGUGAAGCCAACUCUAAGAUGAAUCUUCUCUAAGCUCUCUAGAAGACUACUAGUUUGAUAGGCUGGGUGUGUAAUGGAUGAAAGUCCUUUAGCUGACCAGUACUAAUAGAGCGUUUGGCUUAUCUUUA